rnacentral:rRNA from 1 species
UACGGAGGAUCCAAGCGUUAUCCGGAUUUAUUGGGUUAAAGGGUGCGUAGGCGGCUUUUUAAGUCAGGGGUGAAAGACGGUGGCUCAACCAUCGCAGUGCCCUUGAUACUGAAGAGCUUGAUUACACUAGAGGUAGGCGGAAUGUGACAAGUAGCGGUGAAAUGCAUAGAUAUGUCACAGAACACCAAUUGCGAAGGCAGCUUACUAUGAUGUCAAUGACGCUGAGGCACGAAAGCGUGGGGGAUCAAACAGG